rnacentral:rRNA from 1 species
AAUCAACGCUGGCGGCGUGCCUCAGACAUGCAAGUCGAACGAUUAAAGCUCUCUUCGGAGAGUGUAUAGAGUGGCGCACGGGUGAGUAACACGUAAGUAAUCUACCUCGAGUGGGGAAUAACAACCGGAAACGGUUGCUAAUACCGCAUAAUGCAGCGGCACCGCAAGGUGACAGUUGUUAAAAGAUUUAUCGCUUGAGGAGGAGCUUGCGGCAGAUUAGCUAGUUGGUAGGGUAACGGCUUACCAAGGCUACGAUCUGUAACCGGUCUAAGAGGACGGUCGGUCACACUGACACUGAAUAACGGGUCAGACUCCUACGGGAGGCAGCAGUCGGGAAUUUUGGGCAAUGGGCGAAAGCCUGACCCAGCAACGCCGCGUGAAGGAUGAAGUAUUUCGGUAUGUAAACUUCGAAAGAAUAGGAAGAAUUAAUGACGGUACUAUUUAUAAGGUCCGGCUAACUACGUGCCAGCAGCCGCGGU